UUGGUUAAGUUAGAAAGGGCGCACGGUGGAUGCCUUGGCACUAGGAGCCGAAGAAGGACGGGACUAACACCGAUAUGCUUUGGGGAGCUGUACGUAAGCGUUGAUCCAGAGAUUUCCGAAUGGGGGAACCCACUAUCUUUAGUCGGAUAGUAUCCUUACGUGAAUACAUAGCGUGAGGAAGGCAGACCCAGGGAACUGAAACAUCUAAGUACCUGGAGGAAGAGAAAGAAAAAUCGAUUUCCUGAGUAGCGGCGAGCGAAACGGAAAGAGCCCAAACCAAGAAGCUUGCUUCUUGGGGUUGUAGGACACUCUAUACGGAGUUACAAAAGAAAGUUAUAAAUGAAGCGGUCUGGAAAGGCCCGCCAAAGACGGUAACAGCCCGGUAGUUGAAAUGGCUUUCCCUCCAGAGUGGAUCCUGAGUACGGCGGAACACGUGAAAUUCCGUCGGAAUCCGGGAGGACCAUCUCCCAAGGCUAAAUACUCCCUAGUGACCGAUAGUGAACCAGUACCGUGAGGGAAAGGUGAAAAGCACCCCGGAAGGGGAGUGAAACAGUUCCUGAAACCGUGUGCCUACAAGUAGUUAGAGCCCGUUAAUGGGUGAUAGCGUGCCUUUUGUAGAAUGAACCGGCGAGUUACGAUUUGUUGCAAGGUUAAGCGGAAAAAGCGGAGCCGUAGCGAAAGCGAGUCUGAAUAGGGCGCAUAAGUAACAGGUCGUAGACCCGAAACCAGGUGAUCUACCCAUGUCCAGGAUGAAGGUAAGGUAAUACUUACUGGAGGUCCGAACCCACGCACGUUGAAAAGUGCGGGGAUGAGGUGUGGGUAGCGGAGAAAUUCCAAUCGAACUUGGAGAUAGCUGGUUCUCUCCGAAAUAGCUUUAGGGCUAGCCUCGAGGUAAAGAGUCAUGGAGGUAGAGCACUGUUUGGACUAGGGGCCCUUCUCGGGUUACCGAAUUCAGAUAAACUCCGAAUGCCAUGUACUUAUACUCGGGAGUCAGACUGCGAGUGAUAAGAUCCGUAGUCGAAAGGGAAACAGCCCAGACCACCAGUUAAGGUCCCCAAAUAUAUGUUAAGUGGAAAAGGAUGUGGGGUUGCUUAGACAACCAGGAUGUUGGCUUAGAAGCAGCCACCAUUGAAAGAGUGCGUAAUAGCUCACUGGUCGAGUGACCCCGCGCCGAAAAUGUACCGGGGCUAAACAUAUUACCGAAACUGUGGAUGAACCUCUUUAGAGGUUCGUGGUAGGAGAGCGUUCUAAGGGCGGUGAAGUCAGACCGGAAGGACUGGUGGAGCGCUUAGAAGUGAGAAUGCCGGUAUGAGUAGCGAAAGAAGGGUGAGAAUCCCUUCCACCGAAUAUCUAAGGUUUCCUGAGGAAGGCUCGUCCGCUCAGGGUUAGUCGGGACCUAAGCCGAGGCCGAUAGGCGUAGGCGAUGGACAACAGGUAGAGAUUCCUGUACCAGUGCUAAUUGUUUAACCGAUGGGGUGACACAGAAGGAUAGGGAAUCGCACGAAUGGAAAUGUGCGUCCAAGCAGUGAGUGUGAGAAGUAGGCAAAUCCGCUUCUCGCGAAGCAUGAGCUGUGAUGGGGAAGGAAAUUAAGUACGGAAGUUCCUGAUUUCACGCUGUCAAGAAAAGCCUCUAGGAAGAGUAGUACUGCCCGUACCGCAAACCGACACAGGUAGAUGAGGAGAGAAUCCUAAGGUGAGCGAGAGAACUCUCGUUAAGGAACUCGGCAAAAUGACCCCGUAACUUCGGGAGAAGGGGUGCUCUAUUAGGGUGCAAGCCCGAGAGAGCCGCAGUGAAUAGGCCCAGGCGACUGUUUAGCAAAAACACAGGUCUCUGCAAAACCGUAAGGUGACGUAUAGGGGCUGACGCCUGCCCGGUGCUGGAAGGUUAAGAGGAGUGCUUAGCUUCGGCGAAGGUACGAAUUGAAGCCCCAGUAAACGGCGGCCGUAACUAUAACGGUCCUAAGGUAGCGAAAUUCCUUGUCGGGUAAGUUCCGACCCGCACGAAAGGCGCAACGAUCUGGGCACUGUCUCAACGAGAGACUCGGUGAAAUUAUAGUACCUGUGAAGAUGCAGGUUACCCGCGACAGGACGGAAAGACCCCGUGGAGCUUUACUGCAACCUGAUAUGGAAUGUUUGUACCGCUUGUACAGGAUAGGUAGGAGC
rnacentral:rRNA from 1 species